rnacentral:rRNA from 1 species
AUUGAACGCUGGCGGCAGGCCUAACACAUGCAAGUCGAGCGGCAGCGGAAGGUAGCUUGCUACUUUGCCGGCGAGCGGCGGACGGGUGAGUAAUGUCUGGGAAACUGCCUGAUGGAGGGGGAUAACUACUGGAAACGGUAGCUAAUACCGCAUAACGUCGCAAGACCAAAGAGGGGGACCUUCGGGCCUCUUGCCAUCAGAUGUGCCCAGAUGGGAUUAGCUAGUAGGUGGGGUAACGGCUCACCUAGGCGACGAUCCCUAGCUGGUCUGAGAGGAUGACCAGCCACACUGGAACUGAGACACGGUCCAGACUCCUACGGGAGGCAGCAGUGGGGAAUAUUGCACAAUGGGCGCAAGCCUGAUGCAGCCAUGCCGCGUGUAUGAGGAAGGCCUUCGGGUUGUAAAGUACUUUCAGCGGGGAGGAAGGUGUUGUGGUUAAUAACCACAGCAAUUGACGUUACCCGCAGAAGAAGCACCGGCUAACUCCGUGCCAGCAGCCGCCGUAA